GUUUGAGCUGAGGUUUAAUGAGUGAGGCUGGUUUGAGCUGAGGUUUAAUGAGUGAGGCUGGUUUGAGCUGAGGUUUAAUGAGUGAGGCUGGUUUGAGCUGAGGUUUAAUGAGUGAGGCUGGUUACGGUUGAGGUUUAAUGAGUGAGGCUGGUUUGA